CCUACGGGAGGCAGCAGUGAGGAAUAUUGGUCAAUGGGCGCGAGCCUGAACCAGCCAAGUAGCGUGAAGGAUGAAUGCCCUACGGGUUGUAAACUUCUUUUAUCAAGGAACAAAGUGAGGCACGUGUGCCUGUUUGGAUGUAUUUUGAGAAAAAGGAUCGGCUAACUCCGUGCCAGCAGCCGCGGUAAUACGGAGGAUUCGAGCGUUAUCCCGGUUUAUUGGGUUUAAAGGGAGCGUAGAUGGGGUGUUAAGUCAGGUGUGAAAGUUUGGGGGUCAAACGUAGAAUAGCAGUUGAAACUGGCAGCCUUGAGUACACGUGAGGUAGGCAGAAUGCGUGGUGUAGCGGUGAAAUGCUUAGAUAUCACGCAGAACUCCGAUUGCGAAGGCAGCAUAC
rnacentral:rRNA from 1 species